UGCUCCCAGAGACAACAUGCUUCCUUAUAUCCCCAUAUGAGUAAGUCAGUUAUGGAAUGUAAGGAAGUGUGUGGUUUCAGG
ensembl:miRNA mir206-2 microRNA 206